rnacentral:lncRNA from 1 species
GCUCAGACCUGUUUCUAGAAUCUUACCAGUUCAUUGGAUUGGUACAUGAACCAACAACAGGUAUGUGAGUCCCUGAAAGCAGAGAGCAGUUCUUUGCAUGCUGUGAGCAUUCACGGAUGAUGCAGCCACACCAUGCCUCUGACAUGCAUAAUUCAAGUGGAGCAGAUACAGGCCUGUGGUUCCAGUACCACCGCUUGAGGAUUCUGUAAACGAUUUAUCAGCAGGUUGCAGCUGAACAUGGACAUGAGGUAAACCCUGCCCCUGGUUAAAAUUUAGUUUAAUCAACUUCUGCAUGGAAUUGUAAGGACAUGGACUAUAUCACAGAAUCCAGCAGGUUCCCUCCCCCUUUCUUUAGAUUUAUCUUUUCUUCUUUAAGAAGAUAACAUGCUUAAACAAAGUUUCUUUAUGGUUAGCAACUGUGAUUCUUGAAGUUGGGCAACCC